UGACAACUUUAUGUAAUUUUGAUAUUUUGCUUAUUUGCUUUAAAUCAUGGCAUAUGAAUAUAUUUGACUUUUUGUUGUAAUUUUAGUCUACUAUGGUAUAUUUAUAUAAUCAUCUUCAUGAAUAAGUUUCAUAUGAGAUUAAGUUUAAGAUAUAAAUCUUGUGGAGCAGGAUCUGCCUACCCUUUUGGAAGCACCAGAGAUCACCCUGGUCUUUGGUCAGGUCCAAAUUACUCAGUCUUUACUUCUCUAUGUUAUGUAAUGUGGACUGUUUUUGUGUGUAUUCAUUGUUUUUUUUAGCUCACCUGGCCUAAAAGGGACAGUGUGAGUUAUAACCAUCACUCAGCAUCUGUCGUUUGUUGUUGUUGUCUGUUUACAUCUUCUGAAAAUACAAGCCAAAAUUCAUAGCACACUUAGCCAUAAUCAUCCUAGGGCUUUAGUUAAAAAAAAAAUAUGUACAAUUGAUCCCAUCUUUCAACCAACAUAGCCCCCCAAGGCUCAAAAUCGAACAUAGGUGAAAAUAUGCAAGUAUUGCAUUUUGUUUUGAAAACAAUUAUAGAAAAGAAAAAAAUCUGAUAAAAUGCCUCUUAAUGAGGGCUUGAUCUACAAUUUGACAAAAAACAUAAUUGUCAGUGGAUUCCUAAUAGGAUUUAUUGCCCUGAAUGAUAAUUUUUACCCACUUUAAAAAAUAAAUGGUUAAACUGUCUGAUUUUUAACCUUUUCAGAGCUAAAUUAAUAUUAGAGUGAACCUUUUUUUCUUCAUUAUAAAAAAAGAGAUUUACAGUUAAAAUAAUAAAGCAUGCAAACCAAGAGUUUAAAUGCCUUUCUUACUAACUUUAGACACCUAAAUUCAAUGGGUAGGUGGAGUAUAACAGUCUGUUUACUAUACACAAAGUUUUGAUUGGUCAAUGAAUGUCAAAACUGUUUCCAAUAUAAUAUUCAUUGUCCAAUCAACUCUUUUUUAAUAUAGUAAACAAACUGUUACUCCACCUCUCCAUUGAAUUUAGGUAUCAAUCUUAAUUACAAUGCCCGAGCAAACAACCAAAAAAAGUUUGCAAGCAAGGCAUUUUAACUCUUGGUUUGUAUGCUUUAUUAUUUUAACUGUAAGUCAUAAAUUAUAUUCUAGUCUACAAUAACUGAAAAUGGCUAUUGUUAAUUAUGGAGAUAGAUCCAGUGAGUGACACAGUCUCUUAUUUUUUCUAUGAUGAAGUCAAUCUUUCUUCAUAUUCUCAACUUUGAUUGCCCUUUUGGUGUAUUCUGCCUCUUUUAUCAUGGAAGGUUUCAACAAACUAUUGAAAUAACUGAAAUUAAAUUGAAAUGAGUAUUGAGGGUCACCAUGGGUGGUAGGAAAGUGGUUGUGUGGUGGGACAAGAGAAAGUGCAACGAAAGCAGGGAUCUAUUUUUAGAGGCUAUUCUAGUAAAGCCACUUGCACUAAUUGACAUGCUUAGUUUUACCAUUGAACAUGUCUUUCAGUUAUUGAAGGUAUUUUUUUUUUUUAUUAAAAAAUGAUUUAUUAUUAUUGUUAUUGAUUUAAUCAGAUGUAAAUUUUAUAUACUAAGAAAAAAAUGCCUUGAUGUCUUAAUAUAAGUAGCAUUACAGUGGUUGAUAAAGUAAAUAUUUGUAAUUGCUUAUGAUUGACGACUCAAAUUAUGAAGAUCUCAGGCUUUGUCAUCACUUGGCACAAGACAGCAACAAUCACAAUAUAAAAAUAACUUGAACCAUCUUUUAUAUGCAAUUUGGUAACACUGAAACAAGUAUGUCGUGGCUGCAUUUAUAGCAAUGUUACAAGAUGCAAUAACAACAAAAAUACAUUUGAUAAGAUACUUUUUUCCAAGGUAUUUAUAGACAAGCUUUGUAAUGUAAAUUUUUCUGAAAAGUACAGCAAUUAUUUAGAAACUUUGCUAAACAGAAAAUAUUGUUACAAGGAGGUGGAGUAAUAUGUUCAAAUAAAUAUUAUAUAUUUAAAGUGACUCCUGAUCUCAUGUUCAAGUCAAUGUUAUUUCACAUUUUCAGUUUUGUUUUG
rnacentral:lncRNA from 1 species